CGGGGUGUCACGGUUUCGACUGGGAAGUGAAGUAUUGAUUGCAUGCAGAGGACGUCGGGUGGCCUCUUAAAAAUCCGAUAAAACAUUAAGUGCCAAUAAUAGCACAAAAGUAUUAGCUGUUGACUUCGCUCGCGAAGACGCAGCUUGCUUAGCACUCGCUGCUUAAUUGCGGUAAAGUGCGCAGUAGUCUGAAGCUGGACCAAGGGCUUUGGAGUCUACUGUCAUUUACUUGGUAUGGGUUAAAUUCCUUCAGUCUUAGAGGAGUCUGAUUCGAGAUUAAUUGAGGCAAGUUGGUCCUAUUGGCGUGUUCUGCAUAGGGACUGACUUAUUUUCAGAACACUAAGCAUGUAGUGGUCAUUAUGUAAUUUGCUCAGGACGAGAGUUCAAUUCUCUCCACCUCCAA
rnacentral:tmRNA from 1 species